UACGUAGGGUCCGAGCGUUGUCCGGAAUUAUUGGGCGUAAAGGGCUCGUAGGCGGUCUGUCGCGUCGGGAGUGAAAACUCAGGGCUCAACCCUGAGCGUGCUUCCGAUACGGGCAGACUAGAGGUAUGCAGGGGAGAACGGAAUUCCUGGUGUAGCGGUGAAAUGCGCAGAUAUCAGGAGGAACACCGAUGGCGAAGGCAGGUCUCUGGGCCAUAACUGACGCUGAGAAGCGAAAGCAUGGGGAGCAAACAGGAUUAGAACCCGUACCGU
rnacentral:rRNA from 1 species